UACGAAGGGGGGCUAGCGUUGUUCGGAAUCACUGGGCGUAAAAGCGCACGUAGGCGGAUCUUUUAAGUCAGGGGGUGAAAAUCCCGAGGCUCAACCUCGGAACUGCCUUUGAUACUGAAGAUCUUGAGUUCGGGAGAGGUGAGUGGAACUGCGAGUGUAGAGGUGAAAUUCGUAGAUAUUCGCAAGAACACCAGUGGCGAAGGCGGCUCAC
rnacentral:rRNA from 1 species